rnacentral:tRNA from 1 species
CAAAUAAAUAAACUAGUGUUUAUUAGUGUCGCAUAAAACCCGAAAUGGGGCGUGGCCAAGUGGUAAGGCAGCGGGUUUUGGUCCCGUUACUCGGAGGUUCGAAUCCUUCCGUCCCAGA